rnacentral:rRNA from 1 species
UACGUAGGGGGGCUAGCGUUGUCCGGAUUUAUUGGGCGUAAAGCGCACGUAGGCGGCUUAGCAAGUCGGAAGUGAAAUCCCUCGGCUCAACCAAGGAAAGUGCUUUCGAAACUGCUGAGCUUGAGUACUAAAGAGGAUCGCGGAAUUCCCGGUGUAGAGGUGAAAUUCGUAGAUAUCGGGAGGAACACCAGUGGCGAAGGCGGCGAUCUGGGUAGAUACUGACGCUGAGGUGCGAAAGCGUGGGGAGCAAACAGG